CAGGUGUACAACAUAGUGAUUUAACAAUUCUAUACAUCAUGAAAUGCUCACCACAUCUGGUUCUUCCUAGGCUGGUCCCGAUCUAUGUCUAGCCUGCGGACUUCCUCAGUCAUGUAACACCUGCUGAGUCACCUGCUUGAACGCUGGUCAUGGGUUUUCCCCAUCUUCUUGAUUCUGUAUUUUGUGAGUAUCUUGCACCACCCUGCUCUUCCCGUGAUCUGGCCCCAGUGCAUCUAGCUUUUGUGUUUUGUUUUGUUUGGAAUCCACUUGAAAAUUUUCCUCAAGACUACACAGUAAUGUACAUUUCUGUCCUCUGGAAGAGCUGUGGAAGUUAGGACACACUUGUAGAGUUACCCUGAUCAUCUUGAGCUGCCUGUCUGGGGUCCUUUUCUACGCCUCCUCAUUUCUUGGAACAUUUAGCUCAGAUGGCAACCGUUAAAUCACCACCAAUAAUGUAAGCCUAAACAAGUCUAUAAUUUACCCAGUUACUAACUUCUUGAGUUUUGAGAAUAAUUUUUGGGCAGAUGGUUCAUUAAAAUGUAGUAGAAAACAUCAAAAGUGUUACAGACACAUAAUGAAACAUAUAGAUAAUGCUUCGAUGUCAUGUUUGGAGAGAAUUCCUUCCCCCAGUUAGGGAAAAAGGCAGAAGUGUUUGUUUCUAAGCAAAAAUGAAAGGGAAGAUUUCAUAAUUAUGUUCAUGGUGAUUAACUUUUUGGUUUGUCUGUGUAUUUCAGAUCUUGAAAUAACCUGAGUUAUGUAAAAGUGAUUAUUGCAAACCUUUAGUGUUCCCCUCAGGAUAUUAAGAACAAUCCUAAAUUUUAUGGAGAUAAAUCUAUUUGUUCCUUUUUGUGAUUUAUUGCAUUUUUUUAUGUUUAAAAAGUUAUUUCCUAAGCAAGUCAAAUAAAUAUUUAACUUUA